rnacentral:lncRNA from 1 species
ACUCGCAGCUUUUUUCUGCUUCAGCCUUGUUUUUCAGAGUUAAGGCUGCUCUUUCUCAUGUAUAAAUAGAAAAGGUAUUUCUCAGUAUUUCACUGAGAACUGCACUUCGGAGAAAGGGAACCAGAGAUGGAAAAGGUUUUAAAAUUACCAGCCAAUUUUAUGUCCUGAGUUUGGUAGAGACGCCAGCUCUCUUUCUCCUCUGUGAAAUCUGUCAAUGUUUAAACACAUCCUCUCUUUCACUAGAUCAAAUCUGAAUAGCUGAUCAAAUCAUUUUCAUAUGUUGGUUUGAGACACCUAUAGAGUUAGUUUGUAUGAUUUGAAACUACAAACAGCUUGUGGGUGUUACUUUUCACACAGCUUUGUAGUCAUAAACCAACCGUAAAGUCAUACCUUUGUAGAGUCGGCCCGAGUCUAACUGUUAGCGCCCACUUAGCUCUCCAUUUAGUACUGUAUGCAAUUGUUGCUUUGCCUACUGUUAUAUUAACCUUUGGUGGUUAGCUGCAUAGAGAUUGAAAAAAACAUUGAUAGCGUAUUCACCUUUCUCUUGUUGAUGAUUUCAGGUGACCACAGCUCUGGAAUUCCUCAAGACAGCAGGGAUCGUUCACACUAACGUGAAGCCACUCGACAUUACAAUGGUCGACCACAUAUGAAAGCCAUCAAAGGUCAAGGUAAGUGACUUUGUCUUGGCCAUGAACAACCCUGCUGCUCACUCCAGCACAAGGACAAGUAACUAAGGAUUUGUCUGUAAAGUGUACAUUGGUGGACAGUAUGAAGUGGUUCAGUUCUUGCUUGGCCUUUAUAGAAACUGUAUUUGUAUAUCUGUGUGUCUCAGAGCUCCAAAGAUCGAUGUUUGGUCUCUGGGAAUCACUGCAGCUGAAAAUGCUGAUGGGGACUGCUUUGCACCAUUGUCAUAUGCAGCUUUUGCAAUUGUGGCCCUCCUGGGAUGCACGCCUUUCUGCAGAAGUUAGAAAAAGAAAACUUUUAGGGAUUGGACUUUUUUAAUUUUUUGUUCUUUUGUUAUGUAAAUGACUGCAGGACAAAGAAUUUUGUCUUUUGCCUAUGGGAAAUAUUCUCAAUCUUGACCCUGGAUGUAUUCCACAUUUAGUCUCUGGAUUCUUUCUAAUAUUUGUUUCAACGGUUAAAGAAAUGAAGAGCACUUCAAUUUUUUCCCAAAUCACACUCUAUGAAUUUUGAUCAAUUUUAAAUAAACUCAGGACAGGUAAGGUUAGUUGGGAUUUAAUGCCAGUUCAUGAACCAGCAAACUAUUAAAAACCUCCUGUAGUCCACGGGCCAGAGGCCAAAAUUCCACUUUGUGGUACCACUCAAAGUGGCAAAGCUUUUUGGCAGCUGUGUCAUAGUUAUCAGCUCAUGAAGGAAACCAGCCCCUGGUGAAAACUGCAGUUCAGACGCUGGUGUGUCUCCUUGUUCCUUAAGUUUUGUCUCCUCAGCAUCACACUGUGAUAAGUAUCAGGACUCUAAAAAGACAAGAUGUGGUAUCCGCUUUCAAAACAGCAUUAUGCUGCCAAUCCUUGGCUAUAUUAAAGAGUUGGUUAGACUCUAUACUUCCUUUCUCAUAUCUCUUUAAUAGCUUUAAUUAUUUUUUAGAUUAAAAAAAACCCCUUGUGUUUCUCACGCUGGUGUAUUAAAAUGCCAUCACUUCAGUCUUCGUCUUCAAUGCUUGGUUUUAGCUGCUGUCUCUUUAAGUACACGCUCUCUGAUUGGCCAUCAAGCUGAGGUCAGGACUUGAUGUCUUGGAACCAUAGACUGUAUAUAAAAUGGACAUCAUCUGCCUCCUCGCUGGGUGAAGCCACCCCGAGAACAGCACCCUCUGGUGACAAGCUGUAGUAUAGGUCAUAAACCCCGCCUCCUCCAACAAUCCCUAUGGAGCUGUGGACAAACUUUAAAUAUUAAUUACACAGAACAUACAUUUUUCUCCUCCUUGGUUGUGAUGUUGACAUGUAGUUACUGUAAGACUGGUUUGUGCUGAAGUCCUCUUUUUUCUGUGCAGCUCCAUUUUCAAAAGUUAUUAGGGGGUUCAUGUUUUCUAUGAUUGACACUUAAAGAUGGGGUAGGCAGGAAUCUGUUAAAGAAGCAUUUUUUUUUUUUUUGUGGUGUAUAAACAAAAAAGCUUUUUAUAUAAGUCCAUAGCUAUUAGUUAUUGAUGACAUUUGGUAAUAUAUUGCUGUGUUCUGUUAUGUCUGUGUAGUCAACAUUUUACAUUUUUGAGCGACCCACUCCUUCUGACUGCAAACAAAGCUGUUCGCCCAACCUCCCCCAACCUGAUUGGUUGUGAGGCAGACGCUGCUAUCCCGUGUCGUUCACGAGCCCAAACAAAGUUAGCGUGCCACAAUAUCGGACAGUAGAAACCAACCAGAGAGUACAGAAAAUAUUCUGAAUCCUCCUUUGGCUACGACUGCCGACAUAAACAAGAAAACGGACUAAAUACCAGAGACUCUAGUGGAAUAACGGGCGCUUAAAAUGGAGGUAGACCGGACAAGAGCUAAAAAGCCGGGUCAACAUCAGCAUAAAUGAUGGGGGACGCUUCGGGAUCUUGCAGACCCUGUAACAUUUCUGCUUGACAGGUAAAUCGCUUUAACAAAAUAAGCCAAGUGUCUGUAACAGAAGUGUUUCUUGUCAAACGGGACCUGCUGUGUGUUGUAGUGCCGCUAAACUGUUGACCUCGGUCCUGGACUAUGUCACUUUAUCCUAGUUGUAGAAGUCCUGCAAACAUUGUGUUUGCUGGUUGUCUGUUGGCAUCUAUAGUAGCACCAGUGCUGUUUACUUUCACGUUGACUGGGCCCCAUUUGUAAUUAUCUGAAGUAUUUAUCUGCAUUAUAUCUGAAUUUAAUUAGAGUGAUACAAGCGAGCAGGAGUGUCUGUUUGUGGGCAGGGCUUGCUGGAGCAGAGACGAAGGGGAGAGGAGGAGCUGAGGGGAAAACUGGUUGGGAGGGGUAGUGUUUACAUUCAAGAUGUCUCCCAAAAACUGGCCCUUCCUCAGAUCCUGCCUACCCACCUUUAAUUCAGCCUUUGGGCGUAUGGAGAUUGCGUAGCUCACCCAGGGGAUACACUGUUGGAGCCGAGCAUCAUCACAGCCCGAUAAGCGACAUGCUUACAUGGCUGCUAUCUUAGCGGAGGCAACUUUCCAAUUAAAAGCAUUAGAUGUACAUGGGAAAUAAAUCAUAUCUUGCUCAUUUCUCAACUGAUUUUCAUGCUAUUUACUUUAUUUUCAACGUCAAAAUAUGUACUACACACCUGCACCAGUGACCCCACCUAACAGUGGCAGCCCAUUAAAAAAAGAAGAGUAGUGGUGAAGAUGAUGCAGAGUGUGGGGACAUGUAGGUUGGUGAUUUCAUAUUCUUGAGAAAUAGUUUGUAAGUUUUGGAAAUACUGCAUUUCACUUUCUUUACCUGAUUUUUACUGAGAGUUAGAGGAGCAAAAAGUUUUGGAUUAUUGAAGCGAAAAAGUCUCAGCAUGUCUCUCAACAUAAAGUAACAACACAGCAGUUCGUAAAUUUCACUGAUUGGUUUGAGUUUGGCCAAACAAUUGUAAGAUUUUAGGAGAUUUCAUCAUGAUAAGAUCAACUUUGUCCUAUCAUGAACCAUCUAGUUUAACUCAAAGGAAGGCAGCCAUUUCUUCAAAUUAUUGGGAUGUUCCUCAAACAUUUGUGAGAUUUGAACAAUUUUUGAAUUGAAUACAGAAAACCAGACACCACCUCUAAGAGGAAGAAAGUAGAGUACUAGACAGCAGCAGGAACUAAAAUAAGGGAAAACAAACCAAGUAUCAACCCAGAAGGAUGAUUCUGAUCAAAACACGACCGCAGAUUUCCUCCCCAUACCCGAAAAGAGAAGGAGUGUAAAUCUCAGCAAACAGGUUAAGGACAACAACAAUCACAAGUAAACCGGAAAACACACAAUUUAAGACCAACAUCGACUUAUUUGAUUCAGUGAAGUUCAUUUUUCUGUAUGCUGAAAUGUUUCAAUACUCCAUCUUGAUCAGCUGUUGCAGAAUGAACUUCAGGCGAAUAAAUCCACAAUUUUAUUAUUUCACAGAACUGUCCAGCAGCACAGGAGUCACCUAUCCCUGCUUCAGUCCGGUUGGACAUCCAAAGAAGAGAAAGUGGGAUGAUGAUGAAAUUUGGAGCUCAGAAAGAGACACUUUGAGCCCAGAUAGAGAAAAAUGUGAAUAAGAAAAUUAGAAGUUAGGCUGAGGGAGAGCAAAGGAUGAACCCGAUGUUUCCUCAAGUGCACUUGUAAAAUAAACUCAAUUACCGUUACCAGUUUCUUCUUAAAUGGUUGCUUGAACUUAAAGCUAGGGUGUUGACUUCAGUAUUUUCACUCCAAAGUUAUUUUAACAGAUGACUUUAAUUUUCUUUAACCCUGUCACACACCAAUUACAAACCACUGGAAACUACUGGAAAUGAGAUUUUUCUCAUUCCUCCAAUUUAUGGCUCAUAGCAACAUCUUCCGAUGAAAUAGUGCAGGCAUAAGACACAUUUCCUGAAACUUCAGAGUCACAUGAGCACUCAAAGAAAGGAAUUUCAGUGAAAAUUGAGAGAAAAAGCAUGUCACUGUCUGCUUUAAGAGUCAAACUACCUCUGUAUUUGUAAGAUUGAUAAGCAACUGAGCUUGAAUAGAAGCUAAGAAGGUCUCCUUUAAAAUGAAACCAAACACCUUAUUGUAUUCACUGAAAAAAUACCCUGAACAUGAAUCUCAACCAUGAGCAGGAGAUUUUAUGAGAGGUGGUUUACUUUAUGAGCUGAUAACUAUGACACAGCUGCCACUCAGGAAAAUCUUUCACGCCAAAAGAUUAACUAAAAUGAUUGGUACCGAGAGCUGGUCCAUGGACUGCAGUCCUAAUGCUUCUCAUCUCAGUUAUUACAGUGCUGCGCGGGGCACAGAUUUGAAGAAAGUUGUUCUUAACCAAAAGCAAUGAGUCAUAAAAAUAUGCAGAACUGAGGACCUAAGGGUGCUUUGCAUCUCUGAUGGUAGCAACAAAUCUAGUUUCUCUGCAAAGAUUAAAAAAAUCCAACUCUAUAACUUUCCCCCGACAGGAAAAAAAGACAAGAUCCUCCUUCUUUGAUUAAGCUUGUUGCCUUGUUAGGGCCUUCUCGUGGGUUAGGAAUAAAUCUACAAAGGAAAUAAUGACAAAUGUGUUUGCUACUGCGAUCCUUAAUUAGUCGCAGGAAUCCCAGUUGUAACAUGUUCUCAUUUGUUGUCUGAGGACUGCAAACCUUUCCGUUUGCACUCUUCAAUUACAGGGUUUUGAUUUCGUCUUGUCACAGCCUGUGCUUCUUGUUUUCUCGAGCUCCCUGUUGUUUCGUUACCAUUUAUCUCCGUUCUAUCUAAAGCGUGUCUCUGUAGCGCACCUUCUUUAACAUGAGUCAUUUUAAAGCACCUCUUUUCCCCUUUAAAACCCCUGAAUUUAACUUUUGAGCACUUUGACCAAGUAUAGAAAUGGCGGGAGAGACUUACCAGACUUUACAGGAGGCUCAGAUCUUGGUCAAAUCCAUCCAGCGACAGCACUUAAGCUCCUGUCUACCUAGAAUGGGAAAAAGUAGUUUGAUCCUUUGACUAAAGAUCACAGAAUAGAUGAAAGAAGUGGAGAAAACAGAUGGGACACACUGCACUUUUUCAAAACCUUCUUCCAAGGCUUGAACCCUGUCUGUCCUGAGAUACAAUUGCUAAUUAAUCUUAAGGAAGGACUUUGUGCUUUUGGGGAUAAAUGAGGUUUAUCACAACUUGGGCUCUGGCCCUGAUUUAAAAUGUUGUACGGACAAGUUAAAUAUUUAGAUAUGGGCAUUGCAGGAGUGCUAAAAUAGGUCAGAAGAAGCAGAACAUUUGCUUGCGUUUGCUGUUGCCUCAAGAUAAAUUGGUCCAAAUAGUCUGGAUGAAAUGUCGAGGUAUCAACAAAUUCUCUGAAUGUCUUUAACAAUCAGGUUUCUUUUCUGGCAGCAUCUCUUAAAACUCUCAGUAUAAGUUUAGAUUAAAGAUUGGAAAAAAAUUGUUUGAAAUGAUAUUCAAAAAAAAAAGAAAGGUAGAACUUUCCUCUGAGUAAGAGUUUAAAUUUUACCUCAGAGUUAUAUAAACUUGUAGUUAACCAACUCUUCAUAGACGUGAAACUUUGAUUUUUUUUUUAUUUAUACCACCAACUUAUUCACAUACUUGAAGUCCAAACAUCAUUGAAAAUUGAGGUCUUGGAAAAUACUUUCAAAGGAGGAGAUUUUUGACACUUUUCCCUCGUUAUUUUCCGUGUGGAUGGAACAAAGUUUUAGGGAACACUGGUAUACUUGUGCAUGGCAGCUGUUCAUAUUGCACAGGCAUGGUAAUCCACAGGUUUGUGUACAUCUCCACAGGUUUACGAGAAUUUUUUUUUUUCAGUAAAUAACACUAGAUGUAAUGAGUGAAGACCCCUGCAGCACUUGUGGUAAUAUCAAGUAUCCUCCUUUUUUUGUGUUCCCGCGUUUUGCAGUGUUUCUUUUUUUAGAGUACAAUCAGAUUCCCCUUGUGCACACCUCAGCAAAAACCCUGCUGGUUCCCUGGAACAUCCUUCAGCCCCCAUCUUCUUCUUCUUCCUCCUCCUCCAGAGACCGACUGUGAUUCCAAUUAUGAAGAAAUAUGUACAGGAAAUCCGCGACUGUCACAGGUCCCGUGGAAAUUUCAUUUUAAUUAAUCUUGGGUGGAAAUUGGCAGCUCGGGCAUCACUACACUCAUCGCGGCUCCCUGAAGUAGAUCCAAUUUUCUGUCUCAAUAGGCAUUAAAUUAGCAAGAACAUUCCCACCUUUGUCACCGCGGCACGCAUAACAAAUGAAAUACAUUCAGCUACAUGACAUUAUGGAUUGCUAAUAAAUGACCCAACUCGCCAGUGAGGUGCACAGAGUCUGUGGCAGGUAGAAGGAGUUACUUUUGGGAGAUUUAAAAGAAGAAAGUGUGCAAGCAGGAAAAUCAAGGCUGUAAAAGUUAAGAACAGACUUUACCACCUGACUGUGUGUACACUGCAACAACGUAGAAGGUUCAUUUAAAGCUCAUGUGAUAUACUUUCAGUUUAUUUUCACUCUUUUUGUUUCUUAUAACUAUCACACUUAGUAAUUAUCAAGUUUCUUUGCAGUCGAAGGUGUCAAGAUAUUCCAGCAUGCUGCUUAAUGCUUAAUGUUGACAGACUUGAGAGUAUCAGUGUUGAUUUAAGUGAAAACACCUCACAGGAGUUAUAAAGCCUAAACCAGCGGGAAAGAAUUCAAAGCUAUUGACUUUAAAAUAAACGGUAAUAGCAUCAGUGAUGUCACCCUUUUGUUUGUUGAGUGGAUUUUGAAGCCAAUCAGCAGGGGGCGCCACAUUGCUAAUGCUGACUCCGCCUGACUUUUGGUCAACCUAUUAGAGGUGAGCCUUUACCCUCCUCGCAAGUAGCAACAGUGUGUCAGGUGUGCCACUAAUCUGCUGAUCUUGUGACUUCAGUAACUUCGAAAUUACUGUUUUAUGAAAAAGUUCCCUCGAGUAUUCAGGCCAAGACUGUUUUUGAACCCGGAUUUUAACAUUUUUAUUCAUCUGCUAACUAGUGUGGACCUGGUUUCCAGUGCUUCUGCAGCUAGCCUAAAGCAGACAGUUUUGAGCACUUUCGCGUUGGCUUAACUUCUCAAGAUGAGAAGUUGCCACUCAGCGCCAUCUGCUUUCGAUUAUUAAAAUUAGGUCCAAAGGCAGUUUGAUCUUAACUUAUUUAUCUACAUGUAGAUCACAUAUGAGCUCAGGACUGCAUCUGACCAUUUAGUUUGACUUCAACAUCACACCGAGUUCACAAAAAAGAGGAUUGCUCUGCGCAGCACAGAUCUUAACGUUGGUGCUGGUAGUGUCAGGAAAAAAAAUUCCUAAAAAGAAGAGAGUUCCACCGCACCCAAUGCAGUCAGAAUGCAAACUAAUUUAUUGGUUAAAAGAACAACGCGUUUCGCCUCACAGGCUUCAUCAUGCUUACUAAACCAGGCAUCACACCAAGUUCGCAACAAGCUCUGUGAAAAAUCAGCAAAAAUUCAUAGGCGAUUAAAAGUCUGCAUUAGAAAGCUCACACACUUUAUAAUGUAGCAACAAUUCUGAACACUCACACACUUAAUGGAAAUGUGCCUCAAAGUGUGUGAGUUCGAUAAAGCAGAGUUUGGGAUUCACUGCAGAGAAAUUCACGUUAGCCAAAACUCUAACUAAUAAUUUGCUUCAGAACGUGUCUCUUUAAGAUAAGAGAAACUAAUGGUAAUUCUGUAAAGUAUUUGUUUACCAUACAAGCAGACGCUGCUAAUAAACCAACAUUUUUUUAAUAAGUUUCCAAUAAAAGUGAAGGAAGAGUGUGCACUUGACUAGUUAAUUCAAAUAUUAUUCUUAUCUACAAUCGUUGGAGCUUUUUGUUGCUGUUAAUUGACAAAAGUUUUCUGUGUUGCCGGCAAACCCCUGACUGAUUUUCCCAUUUGGCCCGCUUUCGAUUGAAGAUGAACAUUCCUGCUCUGUAAUAAUAAGCACCAUAGCCUCGGAUUUUUGUGCCUGUUUUUACCUUAUGUCUCAUUAAGAAGUAGAGUUUUUCUGACUGUUCCUCCCCACCUUUGAGAGUAUUUCCGGAGGUUUAACGAGCUUUAUAUUUCCAUGGCUUUCAGACUUCCGAGAUAUCAUUAAUGCAGAAAAAGCUUUGCAUCUUCUUUGUUUUCGGAAGUCGGAUUGUUAUCAAAAGUUUCCACCAAACAGAAGACAUUUUGUAGAAACAGAUCAAUGCAGGUCUAUAUUUAAAAAGUUGGGCUGUAUUAAUUUCAUGUAGGAAAGCUCUUGCAAAAAAAACAGUUUGAGGAAGUAUGUUCAAUGUAGGAACAGAUUAAAAUGUUUCAAAUAUAUGGGGACUAAGUUUGAGAGAAGUGGUGGCACUGCCUGAACUUUUAUAACUCCAUACAUGACGUGGCACAAAGGAAAGAUGUGAUUUUUAUAGAGAUGACGACCUCAGAUAUGACUAUGAAAGGCAGGGGGAAAAAAAGUGAAUCCAUGUUUUUUAUAGAGAUGUAGACACCUCAACUUAGACUAUGAUAAGUUAAAAAGAAGUGCAGGUCUUAUUCUAGAUUUAUUAUAAUGUUCAUGCACACCACAACCUGACAGGUGAUGUGCUUCGAUCUCAGUAAGACUCUUGCUACAUCAGUGCCUGACUCUUAUCCACCCACAGUGCAAGGUGGAUAACUCUAUACUCUGAAUAUCUUAGCAUACACAGCAGUUACUCUACAUUAUUAGAGAGGUCUCUCUCUUUCUCAAACCUGUAACGUCUAAUUGUCUUGCAGAGAUUGUGCGUACACUGUGCUCAUACGCUGUCUGCCCACAAGAGUCACACAGGAAUCCAGAUGGGGGACUUUACAAGCCCUGCCCAAGGCCUUUUGAUCUUCUGUCUCUGCUCUCAAAUCCCUGUUUUUUUUUUUCUGGUGACUCUUGGCUCAAGGUGGCUGUCUCAAGGCACAGGCGUAAGAGGACACCUCACAAGAGUAUCAGAGGGAUCAGAGGUUGAAGAAAUUGCGAACAAGAGGACGGCAGUGUUGCGCAAGUCAAUACAUGAGUUGAGAGAAGUACUCAGUGUUUGAUAAAUGGGCUGACCAAAAUGUUAGCAAAAGUACUCAAAAAGUUGCUUUUUUUAUUGUUUUUCUACAUUCAUUGUAGCAAAGUUACACCAACACCCAUCUUUAAUCUUCGACGUCGAUGGAGUUAAAAAUGAGGGCAUGUCCUCAGUUAUUCCUUAAGAUCUUAUAAAUCUUGAAUAAAUGUAAAGGAUGCCUCUGGAAGUAUGAAAAAUGCUGGAUUUGUGGGAAAAUGCGCAUCUUAUUUAAUAAUUCAUGGGGUAGAACAUCUCAAAUCUGUGCAGACGGGAUAUAUAUAAUCUUUCAUGGAGGUAAGAAGAUGUCGAAUAACUUUUAAUUCACUUCUUACCACAGGAUGAUCUGGCAAGAUAGUCUACAAGAAACCAAAAAUUUGAGACUUUGCUGUCUUCUGUUGGGCGGGAUAAAAUGUCUCAAAGCUAACUUGGUAAUUUUGUAAUUUGUUUCUAUCUUAAGUGAGUGCCUGGUUAAAGUCUGUUUAAGUUCCGACAUUCACAAUUUAACCAAGAAAUUAUGUCAAAUGUCAAUAAAAAUCGCAAUUUGGUGGUUUAAUUAAAAACCUGUAUUUUACUGAAAAAAGCACAAAGACAGUAAAUCAAAUGCUAAAAUGUAAAAGUUUUAUUGCUCUGUAACAAAUACAUGCUCAUUUAAAAAUGAUGCCAGAAACAAAAUAUCUUAGAUAGCUCAGGGCUUAUUUAGCAUUGCUAAGCUAACCCCCACUUUUAAGCACCUGACAAAUCUGCGGACAAAGAAACCAGUUUCUUUAGUUUUACCCUCACAUACUUUUCAAAUCCAGUACCCUCACAGUAUGUUCCGGAUCAAUAUUUACCCAGCCCAAGAAUUGCCCAUGUAGCAACUAUUUUCACCCAAGUUCUAACCCCAAAUCUAUCCAGAUGAAAUGACCUAUGUUACUUCAAAAAAUUAUUGAUUAGUCCUUCCUAAAUGUUUAAAAGAGUGGGGAAAGUGUAUUAAUUAAGUUUUAACACCACUCGUUUUUGGUGAAAUAUAUAUUUUGGAGAAGAAUAUCUAUUACACAGGAUAAUGUCAUGUAAUAUUAUGUAAGAAAUAAAAGAAUAUAAAAGUCAUAAUGAUUUUAAUAUAUGAUUUAUUACAACAAACUUUAUAUUGAACACUGUCCUUACUGCUUGUCUCUUGUCCCACACUGGUAGAUCUAAAAUCCAUCUAAAUAGAUACGGGUCAAAUUUGACCCAUAACAGCCUCAGAGGGGAAAAAUGUGUAGCACAUAUACAAAAAUACACAUGAAUGUUUAAUGUUUUUACUGCUGUUAAAAGUCAAAACAGGUCAUAUUUGAUUCAAACAGUUUGUAAGGGUUAAAUGUGAAAUGUUACCCCAUUCUUGCCAGAUCUAGGAUUUCAGCUGUUUAACAUGUUCUGGGCCACUGCUGUGUCAUGAUAUGCUAGACUCUAAGAAGACCAGUUUACCAACCUGGCUUUUCAACCAUUAGGCUAUGCUGUCUUAUCAUGCUCUUGCUCCAAAAAUGUAACAGUACCUUCCGCUUUGUGUAAAUUAGUCGUUCCAUGGGUACUAAUUCAUCCCCAUACUGAUGCUGCUUUUGAAUCGUGCUCUUAUAAUAAGCCGGGUGGUCCCUCCCACCAGCAGUUCUGGAUCAUGUUUAUUCACAACUUUGAGCCUAUGCAGUGAUUUCCACUGCAGGGUCAUGCCUUCACUCUUGUGCAGAGAUUUCUCCAAAUUCUCUGAAUCGUUUCAUGUGACCAUAUCUCCAUAUGAAUGUAAACCGAGGGCAAUGCAAAUCAUUGUAUCAAACUCCUCGGCACAUAAAGCCGAUUUUUGAUCUGGAACGCCAUUCUUUGAAAACUAAUCCCUUAUUUAAUUAACUUAUGGUUUACAACGUAUGAAUCAUAUGACUGUCACUCCUAUUCCUGGACUGUGCUCUUUCCAUAGCAUGAAUACAAUCGAGAAUUGUGUGCUUGAAUUCUUGGUGGAUGAGAACUAUCGCUGCCUUUUCUUUAAACUUCAAAAUUCAGUUUGUGGUGCCUCAUUUCCUUUUCUGUGACCUCUUCCCUGCUUAGUUCUUUGCAAAGUGUUUGCGUCUCCCCAGUAAUGAUGAGAGGGAUCUGUUUUACCCUAAUCCUUGCCAUCAUCUACCUCUUUGUAGCAUUUUAAUUGGCUGAGGCUGGCACAUCCCUCCAACCCAGCUGUUUUUCCUGCUACACCCCAAAGCAAGCCUAGUGUUUCUCACUAAUUACCGCCGCUGUCUGCGCUGAUCUGUGACACAGCCCCUCUCCUGCUGAAUUACCCUCGCCUCUCCCAUUUACAGCAACCUGUCAAUAUUCUCCCUCAUUUUCAUACAUCAGUGAAAAAAAUACCUGAAGUCGAGACGCAGGACUGACCGAAAAAUGAUGAGACCCACGCGAGACUAAUGACUGUUAAAAAGCAAUCAUGUGGCGGCAGCAGUCUGGGUAGUAGAUCUCUGAGUUUUAUUGCUAACGCCCGGUCACGCAGCCGCUGCUGUUUAAAUGAUUGCUAUGUAAAUCACCUGAAGUGCUUUAGUAUUGGAAAGUAGCAGAUUUAAGAUGCUGGUGCAUGUGCUAAGUAGACAGUAUCCCGAUAUUUCGCGGAGGCCUUCAUUUGAAGGACUAACUCCUGCUAUUCAUCAGUGUGUCAGUCUACCCCGAGCUGGCAGUACAUUCUCAAGAAGUUCCCUGGCGGAACAAAUGAAGUUCUUUCUGAGUCACAUAUAAAAUGCUUAUUCUGUAUUUCUGCAAAACUAAUGUGAAGGAUGUCACAGAAAGUUCUGGGGUACUUCUACUUUACCUCUGCCUUUUCUUUCCUUGUUUUCGUCUUAAACCAGAGUUCAAAUCUUCCUUUCUCAAACCUGAGGUACUUAAAAUGUGAAUCUUGGGGCAGUAGUACAUUAUCUUCAAGAUUUUCACCCAUCAGAAUAUCUGUUCAUGAUUCACAAGUUAGGAAAGGGGUCAGAAUUUAAAUAUCGAGGUCAGUAAUUGCUCAAAUUUGUGUAAAAAUGGUGUCAAUACAUGAUGAUUUGCUUACAUUUGGUGGAACAGAGGCUGUAUGCGAGCAUUAGUUCAAAUAUUUACAUGAGAUGUCACUGCCCUCUGCUGUUAUUUUGACUGUAUUACAUCUAGAAGUUUGAGGGUCAGUUUAUUCACUGUUUAUUCGUAAUUUCUAGAAAUUGAAAGCAGCAUUCAGUCAUCACAAAGUGAGUCGGCUUUCUCGGUGCAUUUAUUUGUUGUGGAGUUAAAACUUGUGACUGUUAAUGUGCUUAUCCCAGAAAACAAACUCCACUGAGAGGGUUGAUUGUUUUCUCGAUGUAAAAUAUCUGACUUUUUCAGCUCAAACGCUAACCUGUUUAAUGCAUUGGAUUACUCCCCAGAUUAUUCAGAUUAGAUGUGAAUUAAAAAGAGUUUUAUUUCAUUUAAGGAUCUGAAUCUGUUUUUUUUUUACACAAGAAUCGAGAUGCCUGUUUGGUAUGUUGUUUCGUUAUCCAUCAGCAUUAUAAAACCAGGCAGUGUGUGCUGGAUACUCAUCUCCUCCUACGCCCCCAGAGCUUUGGUCAUGAGUCUGCUUUAUUCCAUGUGCAACAGGACAGAUUCCCAUCCACACCCUGCUUAAGUAGGAAGUUCAUUUCAGUGCAACUUUGUAAACAUUAACAAAUCACAGAGAAGGUCACGAAGUUAUAAAACUGAUGAAGAGAUUUUGAGGUAAAGGUGAUGUUGUUGUUUCAGAUGUCACUCAAAUGAGCGCACCUCUUCAAAUUCAUACUUCAUUUACUGAAAGCGACACAUUUUACCUCAUCUUUAUUUGUGCACGACUACAAAUGCAUCGAUCUACACCAAAAAGACAAACCUCAUUGAUGAGUUCUCUUACUAAAACUUGUAAAAACUUAAUACCAGAUGUUAAAACCACUUCAUUUCCCCUCAUUCACAUAGACGCAAAUCAAAGUAAGACAAAGGGAGAGUCAAAGGAGCCCGAGGGCGAGGAGUGAAGGGGGUUGAUUAGCAGUCGCUGGUUUUUGUCUUGAAGGCGAGGAAAAGGAAGAAGGAGGCAGACAGUCAUAUGAACGCGCUCGUACAGCUCCUUUCUAACAACUCCCACUGUGCCUUUUUUUUAACCAAAGGCAAGGAUUACCGUUAAGCCCGGGUCACAUCUUCUCACAUGAUCCACUCCUGCCCAAGGUUUAUUCACACACAUGCACAGACAUGAGCGCACACUCGCUAAAAGAGAAAGAGGGGAGGGGAGGUCGGUCGGCUGAGUGGUGGUCACGGGACAAUCAGAGCACUGUUCAUUCUGUACUCAGAGAGCAUUAAACAAUGAGUCAAAUGGCUUUAUAGCUUUAUUCACACUUUUGGGGACUAAAGUUAUUAUUUAUUUCAACUGUUCAAUUAACUGUAUAAAACCAUCUCUAACUGUUAAUAAAUGUAACAUGCUUAAAAUUCAAUAUGUAAAAGUUUUAAUAGUAUGUUUUGAUUUUAUUUCGCAGAGAAAACCUUUUAACAGACUUCACCUAAAGUUGGCCCCUCCUCUAUUUAAAUGUGACCUUAAACACAACGCUGUGCAGUUAAAGGUCAGCCGCACUUUGAGUCAUUAAAAACCCAUGAUGGACUAAAGAACAGUCAUUCAGGGCAACCAUUCGACCCUGAAGUCAAAAUAUGUCUGCAUUGAAACUAUUUCAGCAUUUUAAUUUGCUAUUUAAUAACAUUGGAGAGAAGUACGGAGGCAAAUUAGCUUUUAGUCGUUAUAGCAACCUUAGCUUGUGAUGCUUUUUGACUGAAGGGUAAUAUGCGGACUCUACAUGCUUUAGGAGUGUGGCUGUAUUUUUCAAUGUACUCCAUGAGAAUGAGCUUAGUGAUAGCUUUGUGUAAUCCCCUCGCCAAAAUGAAACGUUACAUGCAUGCUGGAAUUAUGAUAGGCAGCGUGAAGGACAUGUGACAGCGUUAAGAUUCUUUGCCUUUGACUAUGAGAUCAUAGUAGACGCCGUUUCUCCUGCUGGAAAACUGCUGGAUCGUUGUGAUGAGGAUUUGAUUUUUAAAUAAAAAAUGUGAAUUAUUUGUUUAAAAGUUCACCUAAAAAGUUUACAUCUUAUUAAAAUAUUUACCUGGUUUUCCAAAAUAGAAAUUUGACCUAAAAUUUUAGAGGUCGAAAUAGUGGGUUAACUCCUCUGAGCACAUCCCGGUAUGAUAAAUUGUAUUCUUCAGCUCAUACCUCAUUAAACAGGGUUCCUAUGCAAGUAUGGAAAAGUAUGGAAAAAAAUGUGAUCAAUUUCCAGGUCUUAAAAAGUAUGGAAAAUGAAAAAUAAAGUAUGGAAAAAUAUUUGUCUCUAGACUAUUACCACAGUUUUAAAACACUGUUUUAGAAAAAUAGAAAAGUAGGUAUUUCAGUAAAUAAUUCUGAAAAAGUAGGGUAUGGUAAAGUAUGUAAUUACAACUGUGCAGGAACCCUGAUUACAGUAAAAAUGUGAGAUUUUAAUAAAACAAAUGUACAUAAACAAGAAUAAAUUUCCAAAUUUGCACAAAUUUACAGUUGUUACUUUGCUUGAGGUCAAACAUUUAAAAGACUGUAAGAAUAACGGCAUAAAGUAAUGAGAAUAAAUCCAUGAAAAGCUUUUAUUCUUACAAAGUUUUUCAACAUCUUUGGUUACUGAGAUAUUUAUGUGCUGAUAUACCAGAAGAUUCACUUUAUCUUUAUAUUUAAAACCUAUACUGACAGAUAAUUUCAGAGGAUUCUCCAUGUUCAAAUUAACAUCUAAUCUCACCAUUCACCACCAUGUUGACUCAACUUUGGUCAUUUAGACUGAGAUGUUUACUUCUCUUUACAAUGUCUUUCAAAAAUGAUCAAUUACUUGCAAUAUUUCACUUUUUUACAAAAGUGAAAAUAUCACUUUUUUUUUCUUCUUUAAUGUGGCCAUUACCCUCAGUCUGUAAUCGUGACAGAAUCAUACAAAUUUUAAGUGAGGAAUAUUGAAUUUUUCACCCCUGAAUUAUGAAAAAUAAAGCAGAAUUUACAUUUUUUAUGCUAGGUCUAAGUAUUUUAUUUCCAUGCUAGAAGUGGUUUUUAAAUAUUUCCUAAUCAUGUAGCUUGUAGGUUGGAAAAAAAAUAAAAAUAAGGUUUUACUUCUUGCAUUUGAAUUAUUUUUUUGCUUUCCCUGAUGUAAUAUUUUAUACUGUGAAAAAUCAUGAAAAUCAGUUAAGCUCAAUUACCUCAAAAUUGUUUUUAAGCACCUUCUCAUUUUCGGUCUGUUUUUGAUUCCUUAUUCAGUUUCAUCCAAUCGGUCUUUUUACCGUUUUUGUGCAGCGUGAGUUUCUGUUUUGAUGCUUUUAUCUUUAACGACUCUAGCAUUGAUUUUUCUUCCCCAUCUCCUUACAGGCUUCUGCCUUCACCAACAUUUGAUGAAGCGCAUUUUCUCCGUCUCUCUCUCUUUGCUUUCUGUAAACUGCAGUGCAUCACCACGUUGUUGUGAAAAUGCAGCUAAACACCUCUGCUCGUUCUACCCUGUGCCCUCUCUGCAACCUCGCUGUGAAGUUUGCAGUUAACUCCUCAAAGACUGAAAGCCCUUGAAUGCUAGAGAGAAACCACCAUGUAGAUGUCAAUCUAGAUCAUCAACCCCCUGGGGUCUGAACUGUAUAUCUCUCAACAACAGAAACAACAACAGCCAGUUUAAAUUCUCAUGAUAAAAAAAGUCCUGGAGUUAUAGCAGCAGCAGACCAGAAUAAUCAUGAUUUAAAGGCUGGUGUCAUCAGCACAUUUAAAUUAAUGAACGGCUCUUUCUGUUUUUUAGGCUCCUGCACCUGCAGAACAGUGAAGCACAUCCACAAACAGAAAACCCUGAAGGCGACAUCGGGGAGAGAAUUGAAAUGAAU